rfam:Triticum aestivum genome assembly, contig: Triticum_aestivum_CS42_TGACv1_scaffold_345869_4DL
CUAGUACUCCCUCCGUCCCAAAAUUCUUGUCUUAGAUUUAUCGAGAUACGGAUGUAUCUAACACUAAAAUGUGAAUAGAUACAUACGUAUGUAGACAAAUCUAAGACAAGAAUUUUGGGAUGGAGGGAGUAUCUG